UAAGGAAUAUUGGUCAAUGGACGCAAGUCUGAACCAGCCAUGCCGCGUGGAGGAUGAAGGCCCUCUGGGUUGUAAACUUCUUUUAUCUGGGAAGAAAAAAGGGAAUUCUUUCCCGUCUGACGGUACCAGAUGAAUAAGCACCGGCUAACUCCGUGCCAGCAGCCGCGGUAAUACGGAGGGUGCAAGCGUUAUCCGGAUUCACUGGGUUUAAAGGGUGCGUAGGUGGGCGAGUAAGUCCGUGGUGAAAUCCUGCAGCUUAACUGCAGAACUGCCAUGGAUACUAUUUGUCUUGAAUAUCGUGGAGGUCAGCGGAAUAUGUCAUGUAGCGGUGAAAUGCUUAGAUAUGACAUAGAACACCUAUUGCGAAGGCAGCUGACUACGCGAAUAUUGACACUCAGGC
rnacentral:rRNA from 1 species